GCAAGCGUUACUCGGAAUUACUGGGCGUAAAGCGUGCGUAGGUGGUCGUUUAAGUCCGUUGUGAAAGCCCUGGGCUCAACCUGGGAACUGCAGUGGAUACUGGGCGACUAGAAUGUGGUAGAGGGUAGCGGAAUUCCUGGUGUAGCAGUGAAAUGCGUAGAGAUCAGGAGGAACAUCCAUGGCGAAGGCAGCUACCUGGACCAACAUUGACACUGAGGCACGAAAGCGUGGGGAGCAAACAGGAUUAGAUACCCUGGUAGUCCACGCCCUAAACG
rnacentral:rRNA from 1 species